rnacentral:lncRNA from 10 species
CACACCGUGCACGAGCCGAAGCAGGGCGAGGCAUUGCCUCACUCGGGAAGUACACGGGGUCAGGAAGUUCCCUUUCCUAGUCAAAGAAAGGGGUGACAGACGGCACCUGGAAAAUUGGGUCACUCCCACCCGAAUACUGCGCUUUUCCGACGGGCUUAAAAAACGGCACACCAGGAGAUUAUAUCCUGCACCUGGCUCGGAGGGUCCUACGCCCGUGGAGUCUCGCUGAUGGCUAGCACAACAGUCUGAGAUCAAACUCCAAGGCGGCAGUGAGGCUGGGGGAGGGG